rnacentral:rRNA from 1 species
AGCAGUCGCCGCGGGAAUACGAAGGGUGCAAGCGUUACUCGGAAUUACUGGGCGUAAAGCGUGCGUAGGUGGUGGUUUAAGUCCGUUGUGAAAGCCCUGGGCUCAACCUGGGAAUUGCAGUGGAUACUGGGUCACUAGAGUGUGGUAGAGGAUAGUGGAAUUUCCGGUGUAGCAGUGAAAUGCGUAGAGAUCUGGAGGAAUACCGGUGGCGAAGGCGGCCCCCUGGACAAAGACUGACGCUCAGGUGCGAAAGCGUGGGGAGCAAACAGGAUUAGAUACCCGAGUAGUCCCUGUCUCUUAUAC